UACGGAGGGUGCGAGCGUUAAUCGGAAUUACUGGGCGUAAAGGGCGAGUAGGCGGUGGGUUAAGUCUGCAGUGAAAUCCCCGGGCUCAACCUGGGCAUGGCCGUGGAAACUGGCUGACUGGAGUAUGGGAGAGGGUGAUGGAAUUCCAGGUGUAGCGGUGAAAUGCGUAGAGAUCUGGAAGAACACCGGUGGCGAAGGCGGUCACCUGGCCCAAUACUGACGCUGAGGCGCGAAAGCGUGGGGAGCGAACGGG
rnacentral:rRNA from 1 species